rnacentral:rRNA from 1 species
AUUGAACGCUGGCGGCAGGCUUAACACAUGCAAGUCGAGCGGUAGCACAGGGGAGCUUGCUCCCUGGGUGACGAGCGGCGGACGGGUGAGUAAUGUCUGGGAAACUGCCUGAUGUAGGGGGAUAACUACUGGAAACGGUAGCUAAUACCGCAUAACGUCGCAAGACCAAAGAGGGGGACCUUCGGGCCUCUUGCCAUCAGAUGUGCCCAGGUGGGAUUAGCUAGUAGGUGGGGUAAUGGCUCACCUAGGCGACGAUCCCUAGCUGGUCUGAGAGGAUGACCAGCCACACUGGAACUGAGACACGGUCCAGACUCCUACGGGAGGCAGCAGUGGGGAAUAUUGCACAAUGGGCGCAAGCCUGAUGCAGCCAUGCCGCGUGUGUGAAGAAGGCCUUCGGGUUGUAAAGCACUUUCAGCGAGGAGGAAGGUGGUGAACUUAAUACGUUCAUCAAUUGACGUUACUCGCAGAAGAAGCACCGGCUAACUCCGUG